GACGAACCGUGCAAACGUUAUUCGGAAUCACUGGGCUUAAAGGGCGCGUAGGCGGGUAAUCAAGUCAAUGGUGAAAUCCUCCAGCUUAACUGGAGAAGUGCCUUUGAUACUGGUUGUCUAGAGGGAGGUAGGGGCAUGUGGAACUUCAGGUGGAGCGGUGAAAUGCGUAGAUAUCUGAAGGAACGCCAGUGGCGAAAGCGAUGUGCUGGACCUCUUCUGACGCUGAGGCGCGAAAGCUAGGGGAUCAAACGGG
rnacentral:rRNA from 1 species